ACGCAAAGACAAGACAUAGGGCCCCUUAAGUGGAAGCUACUUUUUUCCCCCUUACGUGCAACCUAUUUGUGAAAAAGACCAUCGCUUUGAGCAGACUGGAUUGGCUGUAGUGAUACAGUCUCUCCGUCUCUCCCUGUCAGCAUUAGCUCGCU